GCGGGAGUAACUCAGUGGUAGAGUGCCACCUUGCCAAGGUGGACGUCGCGGGUUCAAGUCCCGUCUCCCGCU
rnacentral:tRNA from 1 species